rnacentral:lncRNA from 1 species
ACAAAGGUCCAGUCGGCCUAGCCACUACUGCGACCCGAGCCACGUCACUCUCUUGACGGCAUUUCUAGCAGAAUAAGGAUCCAGUCGGCCUAGCCACUACUGCGACCCGAGCCUUUCAACUAGCACACAACAAUUCGAUACCGAUCCCUGGAUACUUUACAUUUCACUCACAUAAUCCAAUUACGAUAUUAACCAUCAACAAUCCA